rnacentral:rRNA from 1 species
CACAAGCGGUGGAGCAUGUGGUUUAAUUCGACGCAACGCGAAGAACCUUACCAGGGCUUGACAUCCCUGACCGCGUAUGAAAGUACGUUUCACCCUCGGGUGACAGGGAGACAGGUGGUGCAUGGUUGUCGUCAGCUCGUGUCGUGAGAUGUUGGGUUAAGUCCCGCAACGAGCGCAACCCUCACCCUUAGUUGCCAUCAUUAAGUUGGGCACCCUAAGGGAACUGCCGCAGUUAAUGCGGAGGAAGGUGGGGAUGACGUCAAGUCCUCAUGGCCCUUAUAUCCAGGGCUACACACGUGCUACAAUGGGCGGUACAAAGGGUCGCGAACCUGUAAGGGGGAGCUAACCCCAGAAAACCGUUCUCAGUUCGGAUUGGAGUCUGCAACCCGACUCCAUGAAGUUGGAAUCGCUAGUAAUCGCGGAUCAGAACGCCGCGGUGAAUACGUUCCCGGGCCUU